rnacentral:pre_miRNA from 1 species
AGGACCUAAUUCUCUUAGGUCCGUCGUCUGGACCCAAUUCUCUUGGGUGCUGCGCUAGGACCCAAUUCUUUUGGGUUCGGUAUCAGGACCUAAGCCUAAUGGGUCCU